GACGAACGCUGGCGGCGUGCCUAAUACAUGCAAGUCGAACGCUUCUUUCCUCCCGAGUGCUUGCACUCAAUUGGAAAGAGGAGUGGCGGCCGGGGGAGUAACACGUGGGUAACCUACCCAUCAGAGGGGGAUAACACUCGGAAACAGGUGCUAAUACCGCAUAACAGUUUAUGCCGCAUGGCAUAAGAGUGAAAGGCGCUUUCGGGUGUCGCUGAUGGAUGGACCCGCGGUGCAUUAGCUAGUUGGUGAGGUAACGGCUCACCAAGGCCACGAUGCAUAGCCGACCUGAGAGGGUGAUCGGCCACACUGGGACUGAGACACGGCCCAGACUCCUACGGGAGGCAGCAGUAGGGAAUCUUCGGCAAUGGACGAAAGUCUGACCGAGCAACGCCGCGUGAGUGAAGAAGGUUUUCGGAUCGUAAAACUCUGUUGUUAGAGAAGAACAAGGACGUUAGUAACUGAACGUCCCCUGACGGUAUCUAACCAGAAAGCCACGGCUAACUACGUG
rnacentral:rRNA from 1 species